CUAAUGAGUGAAUUGUUUACCUGAGUACUGGGAGUGUCUCAGUAGGUGAUAAUCAUCCCUGAAGAGAGGGGGUGUGGGAGCCUUUGGUUUGUAGCCAAUCAAUCAGAAACACGGGUAAUGACCUGUACUGGCAUCUGGGGUUUCAAGCUGGGAGUGUGAGGCCAUCUAUGGAAUUGAUCCCUGUGGGAUCUGAUGCCAUCUCCAGGUAGACAGUGUCAGUAUGGAGUUAAGUUGUCGGACACCCAGUUGUGUCUGCAGAGAACUGGGGAGUUGUUUGUGUGGAAAAGCCCACAUUUCUGGUGUCAGAAGUAGAGUAUCAAGAGUGAUAAGGAAAUGUGUAACUGUAGAAAGAAAAAGGGCCUUUCCCUGUUCAUUUACGACAGGGAGGAAGUGGAAGGUGGCAGGACAGGGGGAAGCCCCUUCCCGGGCCUUCCCUGAAGGCUGCUGUGCCUCCUGUACUCACGGUAGAAACCCGGAGAGAGAUGAGUUUCCACAGACCCUUCCGGUCCUGGUUUCCUCACCUGUGAGAGUGACUGCCUUCUGGGGUUCGUUAGGGUUUAGAACCAGAUGUCCCCAGAGCAUCAGACACUCACAGAUGGGGCUUUUGGGCCACGGUUGGAUCACGAGCACCUAGCUGACUUGUUGUCAGGAGAUGGGUCGGUCCCUGGAAGGUCCGCCUCCCUCCCCAGCUCCUCCUUUGACCCACUGCUUCCUGGCCGCCAUGCUACGAGCAGUGCUCCUCCGCCAGGCCCCUCUGUCAGGCCGCCCUGCCUUCGAGCCAGCAGCUGGGAACGGAAACCGCUACAGACGGUUGGCUCUCUGCCCUUGCAUCUCAGGAUCCUAGUGUGGCUUUGGAGCAGGACAAGCCUGCAUGCAGGCUCAGUUCAGCCAAGCAUCUUUGGAGCGUCGGACAAGUUGUUUGACUUCCCAGGUUUCUCAGUCAAGAAAUAAAUGAGGAGGAUCUCACGGCUGCAGGGCAGAUGCCUGAGCUACUGUCUGGAAAGCACCAGGCAAGCAACAAAGAAAGGCACAAACAGGAUUUGCUUUCUUCUUUCACCCCAAAGAUUGUUUUUUGGCAUGAAUGCAUUGCUUUGAGGGAAGGGUAGCAUCCAAUGUCAAAAAAGAAAAAAAGGAAGACUCCAUACGCUGGGUUACUUUGAAGAAAUAAAUUCAUACAUCAUGGCUGGAAAGCACCCAUUCUUUCUAGAGCCAGAGUGUGAGAUAAGCCUCAGCUGAUAGUUGCAAGAAUAACCUGGGAAGGACUGCCAUUCGCUGAGCUCACGUGCGAAGUGAGUCACCGCCCGGCCCGGAGGGCGCUGGGUCCUGUUCCUGAGGGAGACGGAGCUGGCUUUGUUGGAUGUGUCCUCUAUGUCCUGCUUGAGGAGAGAUUUAUUUUUUCUUAGAAAGUUUUUAUUUGCAAAGUCUAUGAAAGCAGGAAGGCUUAUUAUUGUUCAGUGAUGAUGGUAAGCCCAGUGAAUGAACUGCUUUUGGGAUUCUGAAAAUCGCUCCGCGACCCUCCUCUCCAAGUGGUGGCUUACACCUGAGCCCGUCUACUGACUGGGACACUAGGACGAGCUUACUGAAAACAAAGGGAAACUUGGGACCCCAGUGCAGCACAGCAGAACCACGGCAGCCUCUGGGGAGGGCAAAGCAGGUGUCACCAAGAGCACAGCGGGGAUGCAGUGUUCAUGAGAAAUAUCCCACCAGUCCUGGGGACCCCAGAGAGAAUGCGGGGUUCUGCGGGAUGACCUGGCUUCACCCAGGGCUGGUCCUGCCCACCAAGGGUUUGCAACCGUUUCCUGCAGAGGGCCAGAGAAUAACUAUCUUAGGCACAGAGGCAGAUGGUCUCUGUAGCAGCCUCUUAACUGUGCUGAGGUGGUCCCAAAGCAGGCAUGCACAUAGCAAGUGACAAAGCACGGCUGUGUCCCAGUAAAACUAGGACCAGUAGUUAGGGGCGAUUUAGCCUGUGGCCAUAGUUUGCCAACUGCUAUUGGAAGGAACAUUGUAAACUAAUGGCAUUUAUUUAAAGGUUGGGUUAGAAGAAGUGACUUUAAUCACAAUCAAGUUAUCAUAACAACAAAUUUUUAAAAUUAUUCUGUUUUCACAAUAAAAGAAACACUUAUCAACAACAGAACAGACAAAAAUACAACUCCGAAAAUACAUACAACCUGUUGUGUAGAUCAAUUGGGUUGGCUAAUCUGGCACCUACUCACCCCUUUCUUCUUUGUCACACUCUAUUGUAGUGGUUGGACAGCUGACACGUUCACUUUCCCAGUUGUCUUACUGCUAACCAUCGGGAAACCACGUCAGCAUGAAUGUUUAGCAGGCGAGAAUGCAAACCAGAGAAGUGUGCAUGGGGUGUUAUGGGUACUGGGAGGUUCCAGGGUAGUUCUCCUCAAUGAAAGGAAAAAGCCAUUUCAGGAAAGCGUCUUUAUUCCCUUUCUUCUUCUUGCUUGGAAUAUGCACGUAAGGCUCGGAGCUCCAGCAGCUGAAUCAUCACCUUGCAGUGGAAAACCAACAGGCUAAGUGUGGCUACGAGGAAAGAAGGGUCUUGGAUCUGCGGUGGCUCUGGAUCCAGAGACACAUGGUCCUGGACUGUGUCUCUUUGGAUCAUCUGCUACAUUGGGAUUCUUGUCCUAAGGCAUAAAAACAAGGCCACUUUUCAGCUACAGAUAGCUGGCAGUUUGUGAAAUGCAGUCAAGAACAUCACACUGCUCCUCCACGCAACUACUAAGGUCUUGCAGAAUGUGCCACCUUGGGGAAACUCGCCCUGUGGUCUUCUUCCGGGCGUGUCUCCAUCUAAACUUGAUGUCCAGUGCAUGGACAGAAGUUCUGGACAACAGGAAACAGAUGUCUGCUCAGUGCACUUUCAGCCCAGAACAAAGCUUCCUUCACCUUUGGGAAGGUCCUAGUCCUAAACCACAGACAGGAUGGGCCUUAACAUUUAGAAUGCACCCUGGAAUGGACAGGCUCCCAAAUUUAGGUGAACUGUGCUCCUUUUCCAUGCUGCUUACAUCACUAGACCAUGAGUUGCCUCUCUUCUUUAGUGGAUGGCAUCAAAGCAAAGUAAAAAGUGUAUAUCAUGAUAAAUUGAUAGCUUGUCAAGGAACAUUGGUCUGUAAAAUUCAAAUGUGUGAAACACCGUCUAGAAGCAGAUGUUCAGGGUAAAAAGACCACAGGUGCUGAAAUAGCACCAAAAGAUCUAUGUCCUGAAGAGCGAGGAGUGUAUCGGAGGAGGCUCUUGGCUCCGAAGCAGCGCUCCCCUGCCUGCCUCUUAACACUUGCUGUCAGUCUCUCAGGAGGCAGCUAUGCUUCCUUGAGUAAGAAACUAUGGCAAAGGCUGGGGGAAGAAACCGAGGUGAAACUGUCGGGUGCUGGGUGCCUUAGAGAUGGAGGAGGCUGAGGGGCGGUUGCUUCCACCUUGAGCACCUUGGCUCUGUAGAGGAGGGCAGCCCCAUGUUUCUGAGACAGGAGCACUGUAAACUCUCUCUGGGCAGGAAACUCCAGGCAAGGAGUGCUACUGGGG
ensembl:lncRNA